rnacentral:rRNA from 1 species
GGCGUGCCUAAUACAUGCAAGUCGAGCGGACCGACGGGAGCUUGCUCCCUUAGGUCAGCGGCGGACGGGUGAGUAACACGUGGGUAACCUGCCUGUAAGACUGGGAUAACUCCGGGAAACCGGGGCUAAUACCGGAUGCUUGAUUGAACCGCAUGGUUCAAUCAUAAAAGGUGGCUUUUAGCUACCACUUACAGAUGGACCCGCGGCGCAUUAGCUAGUUGGUGAGGKAACGGCUCACCAAGGCGACGAUGCGUAGCCGACCUGAGAGGGUGAUCGGCCACACUGGGACUGAGACACGGCCCAGACUCCUACGGGAGGCAGCAGUAGGGAAUCUUCCGCAAUGGACGAAAGUCUGACGGAGCAACGCCGCGUGAGUGAUGAAGGUUUUCGGAUCGUAAAACUCUGUUGUUAGGGRAGAACAAGUACCGUUCGAAUAGGGCGGYAC